rnacentral:rRNA from 1 species
GAGCGGAUGAUGGGAGCUUGCUCCUGGAUUCAGCGGCGGACGGGUGAGUAAUGCCUAGGAAUCUGCCUGGUAGUGGGGGACAACGUUUCGAAAGGAACGCUAAUACCGCAUACGUCCUACGGGAGAAAGCAGGGGACCUUCGGGCCUUGCGCUAUCAGAUGAGCCUAGGUCGGAUUAGCUAGUUGGUGGGGUAAAGGCUCACCAAGGCGACGAUCCGUAACUGGUCUGAGAGGAUGAUCAGUCACACUGGAACUGAGACACGGUCCAGACUCCUACGGGAGGCAGCAGUGGGGAAUAUUGGACAAUGGGCGAAAGCCUGAUCCAGCCAUGCCGCGUGUGUGAAGAAGGUCUUCGGAUUGUAAAGCACUUUAAGUUGGGAGGAAGGGCAGUAAGCUAAUACCUUGCUGUUUUGACGUUACCGACAGAAUAAGCACCGGCUAACUCUGUGCCAGCAGCCGCGGUAAUACAGAGGGUGCAAGCGUUAAUCGGAAUUACUGGGCGUAAAGCGCGCGUAGGUGGUUUGUUAAGUUGGAUGUGAAAGCCCCGGGCUCAACCUGGGAACUGCAUCCAA